rnacentral:RNase_P_RNA from 1 species
GAAGUUAGCCAGGCAGUCGCUGCCGCUGUUCAAUCGGACGGCGGGGGAGGAAAGUCCGGGCUCCACAGAGCAGGAUGACGGCUAACGACCGUCCGCCGCGAGGCGAGGAACAGGGCCACAGAGACGAGCGUAUUGAGUUACGGUGAAACGCGGUAACCUCCAUCCGGAGCAAGACCAAAUAGGCAGGCGAUGAUGUUGCUCGCAGAGCCUGCGGGUAGGUUGCUUGAAUGCGCGGGUAACUGCGCAUCUAGAGGAAUGACUGUCCACGACAGAACCCGGCUUAUCGGCUAGCUUCACCC